rnacentral:misc_RNA from 1 species
GAUGAAGAACGCAGUGAAAUGCGAUAAGUAAUGUGAAUUGCAGAAUUCAGUGAAUCAUCGAAUCUUUGAACGCACAUUGCGCCCGCCAGUAUUCUGGCGGGCAUGCCUGUUCGAGCGUCAUUACAACCCUCAGGCCCCCGGGCCUGGCGUUGGGGAUCGGCGGAAGCCCCCUGCGGGCACAACGCCGUCCCCCAAAUACAGUGGCGGUCCCGCCGCAGCUUCCAUUGCGUAGUAGCUAACACCUCGCAACUGGAGAGCGGCGCGGCCACGCCGUAAAACACCCAACUUCUGAAUGUUGACCUCGAAUCAGGUAGGAAUACCCGCUGAACUUAAGCAUAUCAAUAAGCGGA